rnacentral:rRNA from 1 species
UACGGAGGAUGCAAGCGUUAUCCGGAAUGAUUGGGCGUAAAGCGUCCGCAGGUGGCUAUGUAAGUCUGCUGUUAAAGAGUGAGGCUCAACCUCAUAAAAGCAGUGGAAACUACAUGGCUAGAGUGCGUUCGGGGCAGAGGGAAUUCCCGGUGUAGCGGUGAAAUGCGUAGAGAUCAGGAAGAACACCGGUGGCGAAAGCGCUCUGCUAGGCCGCAACUGACACUGAGGGACGAAAGCUAGGGGAGCGAAUGGG